ACGGUGUCUCGCUCUUGUUGCCCUGGCUGGAGUGCAGUGGCGUGAUCCCAGCUCACUGCAACCUCUGCCUCCUGGGUUCAAGGGAUUCUCCUAUCUCAGCCUCCUGAGCACCUUUUAACUUGAUCAUUUGUUUUGUUCCAGGAACAGUUUACAUCUGUGCUUAUUAACUUACUUUAAGCCUGCUCCCAUCGUCCACGGAAAUUUUUUUGAGGCUUUAAUUUCUUUAUCUGGCAAUGACAUUUUUAUUAUAAAAUUUCAUUUUGCAUUAUUAAAAGUAUUUAUUUUUAAAAAAUGUGUUCCAAGUGUAAAGUGUGCUUGUGCCCUUGGAGACUCUGGUACACCUUCUCCCAAAUCUGCCCCUACCUUUGCUAUUGAUUGUCGUUCACAAGGCAGUUGUGCAGGAUAUUAAGAAAUAGUUCUUGUCAUUGAUGAAUUUACAGUUUAGUAUGGGAGUCAGAUAAAUAACCGAGUCUCUGCCUGUCUCAUGAGAUGGACCAUCCCAAGAAUAUUUCCCUUUCAUCACCUUCUUUCUUUCAUGGUAAUAAUUUCUUCAGUAACAUAAUUAGGUAGCAAGUAUGUUUAUCUGGAGUCACCUUGUUACUGGAUUGGCUUAUUUGCUUACUUUCUCACACUCUCCCACCAGAAUAUGUGCUCCAGGAGAGCAGGGGCAGUGUCUGUUUGCUCCAGUUUCUAGAACAGUGUAUUGCUCAGAAAAGAAGAAACAGGCGGCAUUUCUGUCUGGGGGAGUUAGGAAGCGGUUCAUGGUGGAAGAAAUAUUUAAGAAAAGAGAUGUGGUGAGAACAGCCAAAGAAGAAUGAUAAGACGUAGUCAAAAUUGCAUAGCCCUCAAACCUUUGUUGAAAACUCAUUUGUCUAUUUUAGGGAUUCCCAAUACGGCCAACCAAUGAGAUGCAGCAAUGUAGCAAAAUAUGGAAGGAACAGUGAGGGGGAAGAUGCAGAAAAAGUACAAGGAGAGGAAGAGAAGUGGGGAGAUAAGGCAAGAUGGAUAGAGGGAGAGAGAAGGGAAGAGAAUACAGGACAAGAGAGAAAAGAAAAAUCAUGACAAGCAGAAAAAAGGAUUUGAAGAGCAUAGAAGUCCAGUGAUGUUUUGUGACAGGGUGGUCUUCAGCAGCCCCUGAGUAAACCCCAACGCAGCCAGACCACUGAGAGUGGUACAUGCCACUCCCUCUCCCUGCCUCAGCAGAGCUUCUGAGGACCCCAACAC
rnacentral:lncRNA from 1 species